GCGGGCGUGUGUGUGUAUUUGUAAAAAAAUAUAUAAUAUAUACACACACAUAUAUAUGUCAGUGAUGUAAAUGUAUCUGUAAAUAUUUUUGUACAUAUUCGUCCAUAAAAAAAAGUAAUAAUAUUUCGAGAACCGUUGAUAUUGGAUGAGAUAUUUAAUGAAAAAAAUGUCCAUAAAUUUUUUUUUUUUUUUUUCUUUUUUUUUUUUUUUUAAAGAAUAUAUCCGGUAACUAUGAACAAAUGAAUACAAAAAUGCAACGUACGUUAAUUAUUUAAAAAAAGAAAACAGAAAAUGGGAAAAAAAAGAAACUUUGAAAAAGAUAAAACAAAGAUCUUCAGGAGAUGAAUGAAAGAAACAAGGCAAUGUGAGUAUUGCAUCAACGGAUCUUAUCCUUUUAGAGUAAUGAUCUAUGUGUUCUUCCGAUUAACGACUAGCAUGGAUAAAUGAUCUCAAAAUUAUUCAUAUUUGGAAAUUCUUAGCGCGUAAAAUUUCACGUUUAACGAUAAAAUGGAUCUAUCUGUCUGGUUGCAAUUUAGCAGACUAAUUUGAAAGAAUGAUUUGUUAUAUUAAAAAACAGAGAGAGACAGAGAGAAAGAGAGAGAGAAAGAGACAGAGAGAAAGAGAGAGAGAGAGAAAGAGAGAGAGA